UACGUAGGGUGCAAGCGUUGUCCGGAAUUAUUGGGCGUAAAGAGCUCGUAGGCGGUUUGUCGCGUCUGGUGUGAAAAUCCAGGGCUUAACCCUGGACCUGCAUCGGGUACGGGCAGACUAGAGUGCGGUAGGGGAGAUCGGAAUUCCUGGUGUAGCGGUGAAAUGCGCAGAUAUCAGGAGGAACACCGGUGGCGAAGGCGGAUCUCUGGGCCGUAACUGACGCUGAGGAGCGAAAGUGUGGGGAGCGAACAGG
rnacentral:rRNA from 1 species